rnacentral:rRNA from 1 species
UGAACGCUGGCGGCAGGCCUAACACAUGCACGUCGAGCGGAUGAAGGGAGCUUGCUCCUGGAUUCAGCGGCGGACGGGUGCGUAAUGCCUAGGAAUCUGCCUGGUAGUGGGGGAUAACGUCCGGAAACGGGCGCUAAUACCGCAUACGUCCUGAGGGAGAAAGUGGGGGAUCUUCGGACCUCACGCUAUCAGAUGAGCCUAGGUCGGAUUAGCUAGUUGGUGGGGUAAAGGCCUACCAAGGCGACGAUCCGUAACUGGUCUGAGAGGAUGAUCAGUCACACUGGAACUGAGACACGGUCCAGACUCCUACGGGAGGCAGCAGUGGGGAAUAUUGGACAAUGGGCGAAAGCCUGAUCCAGCCAUGCCGCGUGUGUGAAGAAGGUCUUCGGAUUGUAAAGCACUUUAAGUUGGGAGGAAGGGCAGUAAGUUAAUACCUUGCUGUUUUGACGUUACCAACAGAAUAAGCACCGGCUAACUUCGUG